UCUCUAGAUGUACAGAUAAGAGAGGCGAACCAUCUAUCAAAACUUUCAGGAAAUUGCUUCUACUCAUCAUCAUCCUCGUCAUCAUCGCCUACAACUGCAGAGUUCAGGGCAUUCAACCGCUCAAUCAACUUUGCCUUCCUCUCUUCAUAGGUUAACUUCUUCAAGUUGUACCUGAAAUGCAAACACA